CCUACGGGUGGCAGCAGUAGGGAAUAUUGCUCAAUGGGGGAAACCCUGAAGCAGCAACGCCGCGUGGAGGAUGAAGGUUUUAGGAUUGUAAACUCCUGUUGUUAGAGAAGAUUGUGACGGUAGCUAACGAAUAAGCACCGGCUAACUCCGUGCCAGCAGCCGCGGGAAUACGGAGGGUGCAAGCGUUAAUCGGAAUCACUGGGCGUAAAGAGUGCGUAGGCGGGGUGAUAAGUCAGAUGUGAAAUCCUGUUGCUUAACUACAGAACUGCCUUUGAAACUGUUAAUCUGGAGUGUGGGUGAGGUAGGUGGAAUUCUAGGUGUAGGGGUAAAAUCCGUAGAGAUCAAGAGGAAUA
rnacentral:rRNA from 1 species